UUUUUGGAUCCUACAAGCUUAGUUUCUUUCUGCAAUCGCACUGUGAGAGUUAUCGAAAAGAGAAAGAUUGAAAGAACGGACCAACUGGGGCCACAAAACUCGGAUCAGAUCACUCACAACACAAGGUUCUUCAUCGAUUCAUUUUGUUCAAAACUCACUAACUAGAUAGGGGAUCAGAAAGGUUGGAGCCAACAAGGCAGGGUGAGUGAUUUGCUGAAAAUGAACAAGAGCGGGCUCAAUGACUUGCCCAACGAAAUUCUGCUUCAUAUAAUGUCAUUUCUUAUGAUACAAGAUGUUGUUAAGACCAGUGUCUUGUCAAAACGGUGGAAGAAUCUCUGGAAACACCUCCCUCAUCUUAAAUUAAAUACCUCUGAAUUCAGCAAGCCCUUGUAUUUCUCUGAAUGUGUGUCUGGGAUUGUGUCAUCUCGUAGUAUGGGCAAUUAUCCUUUAUGUACGCUUGACUUCAAUCGUCAUGGUUCUUUUCAACAUAAGAUCUUCACUGAACUCAUAAAACAUGCUAUGUCUAAUGGUCUUCAGCAUUUGAACAUAGUUGUCCCAUCCAAUAUUGGGUUGCCCUAUUCUCUCUUUACUUGUCAUUCUUUGACCUCUAUUUAUAUUUCCGUUUCAAUGUAUGAUAUCAAAAGAAGAACCAGACUCCCUAAGCAUCUCGAUCUUCCAGCUUUAAAAAAUUUGCAUCUUGACUCUGUUGGGAUUCAAGCUGAUCACAAUGGUCAUGCUGAACCCUUCUCAACCUGUACUGAGUUAACCAAUCUUUACAUCGAUGAGUGUGUCUUAGUUUAUCCCAGCUCUCUCCCCCGCAAGGUGGAAGGAAAGCUUAAUGUAACCAAUGCUACACUUUCCAAUUUGACAAUCAAGGAUGCUUUGACUCACAAAAGAAUGGCACCUGUACCAAAUUACAAAUAUGUGAUAUCCACGCCGAAACUGAUAUCUUUUACUUUAAAUGGUUCUCCUUUCUUGGCAUCGUCCUUACCAGAGAGGCUGAAGGUUGAGCUUCAGUCUUCCUCAAUGACGUAAAAUCAAUACAAUCACCUCCAGGUCUCUUCAGUACUGGACUUUUUUAGAUGUUGCUACCAUAAAUUGAUGAAGACGAUUUGCAGGCAGGCUAAAUUCUUAGAUGUGACAGAAGAGUGGUUUUCAUUCAAUGAUAUAGAAUGCCGUAAAACUUCGUACGUGAAUAUUGAGCAGAGCAGUGCAGUGCAUCUGAUAUAUUACUGAAAGUUCUGCUGUUCAAGCAUACAGUGAUUAGUAUAUAUAUAUACACACAUAUACAUACAAGUGUAUGUAUUUAUGUUAGUGUUCAGUAAGUGUCUUUCAUUAAAAGAAUACUUUGUUGUAGGAAUUGAUGUUGUUAUUGUGAAAGGAGUAAGAUCAUAUUCAUUUUGUCUAAAAUUGGGUCUAUUAUCAGCAACCAAGACACACCUAAUUCAACACAAAGGGAAUAAGGAUUCACUGGUUUAUUCUAUCAAA